GGUAGGAUGGUCGAGUGUUAGGCGGUGGGUUGUAGCUCCAAUAACAAGGGUUAGAUCCCCUUUCCUGCCA
rnacentral:tRNA from 1 species